rnacentral:rRNA from 1 species
UCGAUUUGGAGUUUGUUGCCUAGAGUGAUGGGCUCCGAAGCUAACGCGAUAAAUCGACCGCCUGGGGAGUACGGCCGCAAGGUUAAAACUCAAAUGAAUUGACGGGGGCCCGCACAAGCGGUGGAGCAUGUGGUUUAAUUCGAUGCAACGCGAAGAACCUUACCUGGUCUUGACAUCCACAGAAUCUUGCAGAGAUGCGAGAGUGCCUUCGGGAACUGUGAGACAGGUGCUGCAUGGCUGUCGUCAGCUCGUGUUGUGAAAUGUUGGGUUAAGUCCCGCAACGAGCGCAACCCUUAUCCUUUGUUGCCAUCGGUUUGGCCGGGAACUCAAAGGAGACUGCCGUUGAUAAAGCGGAGGAAGGUGGGGACGACGUCAAGUCAUCAUGGCCCUUACGACCAGGGCUACACACGUGCUACAAUGGCGUAUACAAAGGGAGGCGACCUCGCGAGAGCAAGCGGACCUCAUAAAGUACGUCUAAGUCCGGAUUGGAGUCUGCAACUCGACUCCAUGAAGUCGGAAUCGCUAGUAAUCGUGAAUCA